rnacentral:rRNA from 1 species
AGUGGCGGACGGGUGAGUAACACGUAAGAAUUUGCCUUUAGGAGGGGGACAACAACUGGAAACGGUUGCUAAUACCCCAUAUGCUUUCGAGUGAAAUGGAUUUCCGCCUAAAGAGAAGCUUGCGGCUGAUUAGCUUGUUGGUGAGGUAAUGGCUCACCAAGGCGACGAUCAGUAUCUGGUUUGAGAGGACGAUCAGACACACUGGAACUGAGACACGGUCCAGACUCCUACGGGAGGCAGCAGUGGGGAAUUUUCCGCAAUGGGCGAAAGCCUGACGGAGCAAUACCGCGUGAGGGAUGAAGGCCUAUGGGUUGUAAACCUCUUUUUUCAGGGAGGAAUAAAUGACGUGUACCUGAAGAAUAAGCAUCGGCUAACUCCGUGCCAGCAGCCGCGGUAAGACGGGGGAUGCAAGUGUUAUCCGGAAUCACUGGGCGUAAAGCGUCUGUAGGUGGUUAAAUAAGUCAACUGUUAAAUCUUGAGGCUCAACCUCAAAAUCGCAGUCGAAACUGUUUGACUAGAGUAUAGUAGGGGUAAAGGGAAUUUCCAGUGGAGCGGUGAAAUGCGUAGAUAUUGGAAAGAACACCGAUGGCGAAGGCACUCUACUGGGCUAUUACUAACACUGAGAGACGAAAGCUAGGGUAGCAAAUGGGAUUAGAUACCCCAGUAGUCCUAGCUGUAAACAAUGGAUACUAGAUGUUGA